CCAGGGGGCCGGGCAGCCGCGUUGGGGGAAACUCCGCCGAGGAAAGUCCGGGCUCCACGAAACAAGGGUGGCGGGUAACGCCCGCCCGGCGAGGGGGCUUGCUCCCGAAGCCGAGGGAAAGUGCCACAGAGAGUAUACCGCCGAUGGCGCCUACAGCGCACAGGCAAGGGUGAAAGGGUGCGGUAAAAGCGCACCGGGGGCCUGGUAACAGGUUCCGCAUGGCAAACCCCACCCGGAGCAAGACCAAAUAGGGGUCUCGCGCGAGAAGGCCGCAAGGCACGAAGGCAGGAGCGUUUCGCUCCGAGAGAUCCGGGUUGGUCGCUUGAGCUGCGGAGCGAUCCGCAGCCUAGAUGAAUGGCUGCCCCUGCAGCGCUGGUCGCAAGAUACCGGUUGCAGGACAGAACCCGGCUUACAGGCCCCCUGGCACU
rnacentral:RNase_P_RNA from 1 species